AGUGAACGCUGGCGGUAGGCCUAACACAUGCAAGUCGAACGGCAGCACAGUAAGAGCUUGCUCUUACGGGUGGCGAGUGGCGGACGGGUGAGGAAUACAUCGGAAUCUACUUUUUCGUGGGGGAUAACGUAGGGAAACUUACGCUAAUACCGCAUACGACCUACGGGUGAAAGCAGGGGAUCUUCGGACCUUGCGCGAUUGAAUGAGCCGAUGUCGGAUUAGCUAGUGGGCGGGGUAAAGGCCCACCAAGGUGACGAUCCGUAGCUGGUCUGAGAGGAUGAUCAGCCACACUGGAACUGAGACACGGUCCAGACUCCUACGGGAGGCAGCAGUGGGGAAUAUUGGACAAUGGGCGCAAGCCUGAUCCAGCCAUACCGCGUGGGUGAAGAAGGCCUUCGGGUUGUAAAGCCCUUUUGUUGGGAAAGAAAAGCAGCAGGUUAAUACCCCGCUGUUCUGACGGUACCCAAAGAAUAAGCACCGGCUAACUUCGUG
rnacentral:rRNA from 1 species